rnacentral:rRNA from 1 species
CGAACGGGUGAGUAACACGUGGGUAAUCCACCCUCGGCACCGGAAUAGCCCGGGGAAACCCGGAUUAAUGCCGGAUGGCCCGUCGACCCUUCGGGGCUGACGGAAAAGGUAGCUUCGGCCUCCGGCCGGGGACGAGCCCGCGACGGAUUAGCUUGUUGGUGGGGUAACGGCCUACCAAGGCUCCGAUCCGUAGCUGGUCUGAGAGGACGAUCAGCCACACUGGGACUGAGACACGGCCCAGACUCCUACGGGAGGCAGCAGUGGGGAAUCUUGCGCAAUGGGCGAAAGCCUGACGCAGCGACGCCGCGUGAGGGAAGAAGGCCUUCGGGUUGUAAACCUCUUUCAGGAGGGACGAAGCCACUCGGGUUAAUAGCCCAGAGGGUGACGGUACCUCCAGAAGAAGCCCCGGCUAACUACGUGCCAGCCGCCGCGG